rnacentral:lncRNA from 1 species
UGCAAAAGGUGAAGGAUGGGAUCCCUCAGAAGUGAGUUUCCCCCCCCAAGAUGUGGCUCACGUCUGCUGCCCCAGCUCCCAUCCAUGAUGGAGGAUAAACUUCGCUCGUUGGGUUAAACCCAACUCUUUAAGCAUCGCCGGGGGUGGGCGAAGCAGGUUGUCCCCUCUGCUCCCCUCAGGGACCCCGUUGGCCCCAUUCGGGGACUGGAUUUGGGGCCGUGGGGCUCUUCCCGAGCUGCUUUUGAAACCGAACAGCAGUGACAGGAGCCCCGAUGGCUGCAAAGCCCUUUCCUCCUCCUCCUCCUGUGUCUCUUUGGGGCAAAAAAAAAAAAAAAUCGAUUUAGACAGCUAUUUAUUUAUUUACUUAUUUUUAUUCCUUCCUUUUUCUGUCCCCACCCUUAAGCCAAAAAUUGGGACUGAAAUAUUUUUGUUUCCCCCCGCAAACUUGCCCCUUCUGAAAACCAACAUUUCUCUCGUGCUCCCUUUGCAAAUCUACAGGAAAAAAAAAACCCCUUAUUUGGGAUUCUUUUUUCCUCCCCCCCCGCAGUAUUUCCCUUUUGCCAGAGAAAUGGUGACUGGGGUUUAUCCGUGCGCUCACGGCAGCUCUCCUCUGCCCUCGGGGUCCAUCCCCUCUCUGCCACAGGAGCAUCCCAGCCCCAUCCCUGAUGUCCCUCUGGAUCCCAGACUGGGAUGUUCCACCAGCCCCUCGGAUGCUCGGGCUCUUGGAGGCUGCCAGAGCUGGGAUGCAGCCGCGCUUCUGGAAACUUCCAAAUUUUGGCAUUUCCCGCAGUCACUGGGCAUCCCCGCCGCUCUCCUGAGCAUCACCCCUACCCUGGGUUUGCUGGGGAUGCCCGAGGUGGGCACAUGGGCAUCACCUGCACCCCCAAACCACCACCCCUUCAUCACAGGGCUGCGGAGAAGGGCUUGAUGGGUCAGGACCACCACCCCUCACCACCCCCCCCCCCCCAAAAAUCCUGCUAAAACACAAGCUUUUGGUGGGUUUUUAAAAUAAAACCUGUUAAAACUGUUCCUGG